GAUGAACGCUGGCGGCGUGCUUAACACAUGCAAGUCGAGCGAGUGAGUUCUUUGGAACGAUCUAACGGCGGACGGGUGAGUAACACGUGGGCAACCUGCCUCAUAGAGGGGAAUAGCCUCCCGAAAGGGAGAUUAAUACCGCAUAAAAUUAUCGAGUGCCAUCACAUGAUAAUCAAAGGAGCAAUCCGCUAUGAGAUGGGCCCGCGGCGCACGAGCUAGUUGGUGAGGUAACGGCUCACCAAGGCGACGAUGCGUAGCCGACCUGAGAGGGUGAUCGGCCACAUUGGGACUGAGACACGGCCCAGACUCCUACGGGAGGCAGCAGUGGGGAAUAUUGCACAAUGGGGGAAACCCUGAUGCAGCAACGCCGCGUGAGUGAUGAAGGUCUUCGGAUUGUAAAGCUCUGUCUUUGGGGACGAUAAUGACGGUACCCAAGGAGGAAGCCACGGCUAACUACGUGCCAGCAGCCGCCGUAA
rnacentral:rRNA from 1 species